AGUGAACGCUGGCGGUAGGCCUAACACAUGCAAGUCGAACGGCAGCACAGUAAGAGCUUGCUCUUACGGGUGGCGAGUGGCGGACGGGUGAGGAAUACAUCGGAAUCUACUUUUUCGUGGGGGAUAACGGAGGGAAACUUACGCUAAUACCGCAUACGUCCUACGGGUGAAAGCAGAGGAUCUUCAGACCUUGCGCGAUUGAUUGAGCCGAUGUCGGAUUAGCUAGUUGGCGGGGUAAAGGCCCACCAAGGCGACGAUCCGUAGCUGGUCUGAGAGGAUGAUCAGCCACACUGGAACUGAGACACGGUCCAGACUCCUACGGGAGGCAGCAGUGGGGAAUAUUGGACAAUGGGCGCAAGCCUGAUCCAGCCAUACCGCGUGGGUGAAGAAGGCCUUCGGGUCGUAAAGCCCUUUUGUUGGGAAAGAAAAGCAGCAGGUUAAUACCCCGCUGUUCUGACGGUACCCAAAGAAUAAGCACCGGCUAACUUCGUG
rnacentral:rRNA from 1 species